GACAGAGGAUGCAAGCGUUAUCCGGAAUGAUUGGGCGUAAAGAGCUCGUAGGCGGCUCGGUAAGUCGGGUGUGAAACCUCCAGGCUCAACCUGGAGACGCCACCUGAUACUGCUGUGGCUAGAGUCCGGUAGGGGAGCGUGGAAUUCCUGGUGUAGCGGUGAAAUGCGCAGAUAUCAGGAGGAACACCAGCGGCGAAGGCGGCGCUCUGGGCCGGAACUGACGCUGAGGAGCGAAAGCGUGGGUAGCAAACAGG
rnacentral:rRNA from 1 species